ensembl:lncRNA
UUUUCCAACACUCACCCGGGAAUUCCCAAGGAUGAAGAGGGACGUGACUUGGCACUCUUUGUUCUUGUUGACAGAUUUGACACUCCUUGCAAACUCUUUCUAUAUCCGUAUCAAUUUUAGGCCACCACACGUAUUUACGAGUCAGAGCUUUCAUUUUAACAAUGCCAGGGUGUCCUGAGUGAAUUUCCUGUAACACUGAUUUUCGAAAUUUGAAUGGUACAAUCACUCGUGUGCCCCAUAGCAGACAUCCCUGUUCUACUGACAGUUCAUCUCUUUUCGCGUAGAAUACUUUCAAAUCAUCUGACACUUCAAUUGGCCAACCUUCCAUGACAUAACGAAACACUUUAGAAAGUUCUUGAUCUGUUCUUGUCAUUCUGGCAAUCUGUGCUGCAUUUAGAGGAGCUUCUUGAAGAUGGUUUGUCAAAAGUGUGUUGAUAUUUGCUGAAAUGGCUUCUGUUCCUACAUCGGUAAUUUCAGGUAAUGGAAUUCGUGACAAGCCAUCUGCAUUUCCAUGAUCUUCUGCCUUGCGAUACAUGAUAUGAUAAUCAUAUGCCGACAAAAUUAUCGCCCACCGCUGAAUGCGAGCGGCAGCCAUCAUUGGGAAAUGCUUAUGUUCACCAAACAGAGUCACUAAUGGUCUAUGAUCAGUUAUCAAAUUAAAAAGAUCUUCCCCAAAGAUACUGAUGGAAUUUUUUAACUCCAUAGAUCACACUCAAAGCUUCCUUCUCAAUCUGUGAAUAUUUCUUUUCAGCAGGGGACAAAGUACGUGAAGCAUAUGCAAUGGGAUGCUCGUCACCAUUUGGCAUGAUGUGCUGAAGCACCGCACCAAUUCCAUAAGCGGAAGCAUCACAUGCUAAAGUCAAAGGCAUUGUGGAUCAUAGUAUACUAGCACUUUGUCACUGGUGAGCAAUUCUUUACAUCUACUAAAAGCACCUUGUUCCUUUUUCCCCCAGCACCAAGCAGUUUGUUCUUUCAACAGUCUAUACAGUGGUGCCAACACUGUGCUCUGCUGUGGUACAAAACGUCCAUAAUAAUUUACCAAACCUAAAAAAGCUCGUAGUUCCUUCACAUUUGAUGGUGCUGGCGCAUCUUGAAUAGCUUUUACCUUGUCUUUUGUUGGAUACACCCCUUUUUCAUCGAUCACAUGACCCAGGUACUCAAUCCGUGUUUGUCCCCACUCACAUUUACAUUUCUUUACUCUUAAGCCUGAUUCUUGAAGACGCUGUAAGACUUUGCAAAUGUUUGUUAGAUGUUCUUGCUCAUCUUUACCUGUGAUCAACAAAUCGUCCAAAUACACAAUCACUUUCAGAUCUUUCAUCAAAUUUUCCAUUAUUCGUUGAAAAAUGGAAGGGGCUGAACUGAUGCCAAAAGCAAGACGAUUAUACACAUAUAAUCCCUUGUGAGUGUUGAUUGUCGUAUACUUCUUAGAAUCAUUAUCCAGCACGACUUGUUGAUAUGCUUGUGCCAAAUCAAUCUUGGAAAA